AUUGAACGCUGGCGGCAGGCCUAACACAUGCAAGUCGAGCGGAUGAAGGGAGCUUGCUCCUGGAUUCAGCGGCGGACGGGUGAGUAAUGCCUAGGAAUCUGCCUGGUAGUGUGGGAUAACGUCCUGAAACGGGCGCUAAUACCGCAUACGUCCUGAGGGAGAAAGUGGGGGAUCUUCGGACCUCACGCUAUCAGAUGAGCCUAGGUCGGAUUAGCUAGUUGGUGGGGUAAAGGCCUACCAAGGCGACGAUCCGUAACUGGUCUGAGAGGAUGAUCAGGCACACUGGAACUGAGACACGGUCCAGACUCCUACGGGAGGCAGCAGUGGGGAAUAUUGGACAAAGGGCGGAAGCCUUAUCCAGCCAUGCCGCGUGGGUGAAGAAGGUCUUCGGGUUGUAAAGCCCUUUUAGUUGGGAAGAAAGGCAGUAAGUUAAUACCUUGCUGUUUUGACGGUACCAAAAGAAUAAGCACCGGCUAACUUCGUG
rnacentral:rRNA from 1 species